GGAGAUCCCUCCUUUGGAGUUAUACACCAAGUCCAGGACAGGGAGCGACUUCUGAUCUCAGAAAUGUAUUUCGUAUGUUUGAUGGAUGAAGCGAUCAAUUUCUUUUUCGACUGAGUGUUUUUGAUUAGGAAUAUAUUGUCGGCGGUUCUUUCUCCCUGUCCAUCUGUGUAUUUUGUUUUCUUUCCUCCUCCCCCAAGACGACCUUCAUUAGCCAAAUUGGAAGGAACGUGUUCUCUGUUUUAAACAGCGCCGAUGAACACCCUUCCUCCUCUGAAGCAGAAGGGGGAUGUGAUGCGGGAUGCAGCCACCACCGCACUGCUCGGGCACGGCGUGUCCGUUAGCAUACGGCCCCGCGGGACGGCUUGCAGCGCUUGAUCCGCUCGCAGGGGUGCGGGAUCCGUGCCCCCAGCCGAGAGAUGCCCUCGUUGCCUCGUGAGCGGGCAGAGCUUGCUGAGCGAGCGCUCGCCGUCCACGCUCCCGGGUUGCCUGUCCCAGAGGACGCCAAUUAAAGGCACUAAUUGGACAGCAAUACAUCAAAGUCCGCCGCUGAGAUCGGCUUCUCCGAGCUCCGGGGGUCCUGCGGGCAGGCUUUUGUUGUAGAGAACAGCGAUGCUCCGAGUUCCUGGGUCGAUACACGGCCACGUGUGCACCCACCCGCCCCAAUUCCCUGUGUCUUCCCCGGGGUGGAUGCCGACCCCCGGCCCCGCUCCCCUUUGGGACAAGAUGCGGGAAAACCUCACCCCGGGGCCGGCUCCGCACACACCCUCCCCGGGAAGAGAGGCGCGGGGCAGGAGCGGUCCCUCUCACAGCCCGAGCACCGUCCGGUGGCUGCCUUCCCCGUGCCUUGGCAGCGGGUGUCCGUUUGAGCUCCCGCUUUGGGCAGCAGCCUGGGUCCCUCGUUCCGAAGGGUUUUAGGGUUUCAGGCUCAUCUGUAUCUGUGAGUCUUCAAAAGGGCAGAAGGGAAAAAGGACAGAGCACUCGAUGCGGAGCUGAUGGAGGGGAUGGUGUUGGGCGGUUGUCCCCUUUCCGCCCUCCCUGCAGCUCCCUUCCUCCCUCCGAGGAUGUGCCGGGAGCGAGGAGGCGGCUCAUCAUUUACUGCCCACGGAGGCAUUUGUUUUUCAUUUUGCGAACGCUUCCCUUUAAGUAAUUGUUCCUGUUAAGAGCGUGUACCUUUCACCGGGCUCUGCCGCACUAUAAAUAAUCCCGAUGAAGAUGCAAGGAUAUGACUUUCACAAGAUUGGACAAUUGAUUAAAACUGUGACCUGCAAUUGCGAAUAAUCUUGGAAGGCUAUUUAAACAGAUGAAGGCCUAAAUUGUCUUGCUUGUAUCUGAAUUAAUUUCUCAUUCAUCAUCAUUAUGGAGUGAUUGGUUCUAUUCAGGCUCUGCAGCCUGCUGGAACGAAACUGGAUUUAAAUGAGACUGUAACACAAUUUAAAUGCUCUCCGGCUUUAACGAGGCCAAUCGAGCAGCUGCAAUAAAUACAAAUAUUUUUCUAAACAGCCUUGUUUUAAAUAAUUACAUAAUACUUUCAUGUGAUGUUCUUAAGUGGUAAUUUCUUUCUCUCAAAUCCCAGGCACUCCUUCCAAGAAGGGCAGCGGGGAAAAGCACUUUGCCUGCUUGCUUUGUGUCUGUGUACGUUCACGCGAUGCAUCGAUGGUGAUUCUUUAACGCGGGUUGUGUAAAUAUUGAUGUCAACCCGGGUUGGGUGGGGACACACUCAGUUUGACU